GUACUACUGAGGAGUCUCACAAUAGGGCGAAACGGCCGUCCAGUGC
rnacentral:hammerhead_ribozyme from 1 species